UACGUAGGGUGCAAGCGUUAAUCGGAAUUACUGGGCGUAAAGCGUGCGCAGGCGGUUUCUUAAGUCAGAUGUGAAAUCCCCGGGCUUAACCUGGGAACUGCGUUUGAAACUGGGAGACUUGAGUGUGGCAGAGGGGGGUGGAAUUCCACGUGUAGCAGUGAAAUGCGUAGAUAUGUGGAGGAACACCAAUGGCGAAGGCAGCCCCCUGGGUCAACACUGACGCUCAUGCACGAAAGCGUGGGGAGCAAACAGG
rnacentral:rRNA from 1 species